GACGAACGCUGGCGGCGUGCCUAAUACAUGCAAGUAGAACGCACAGUUUAUACCGUAGCUUGCUACACCAUAGACUGUGAGUUGCGAACGGGUGAGUAACGCGUAGGUAACCCGCCUGGUAGCGGGGGAUAACUAUUGGAAACGAUAGCUAAUACCGCAUAAUAUUAAUUAUUGCAUGAUAAUUAAUUGAAAGGUGCAAUUGCACCACUACCAGAUGGACCUGCGUUGUAUUAGCUAGUAGGUGAGGUAACGGCUCACCUAGGCGACGAUACAUAGCCGACCUGAGAGGGUGAUCGGCCACACUGGGACUGAGACACGGCCCAGACUCCUACGGGAGGCAGCAGUAGGGAAUCUUCGGCAAUAGACGAAAGUCUGACCGAGCAACGCCGCGUGAGUGAAGAAGGUUUUCGGAUCGUAAAGCUCUGUUGUAAGAGAAGAACGGGUGUGAGAGUGGAAAGUUCACACUGUGACGGUAUCUUACCAGAAAGGGACGGCUAACUACGUG
rnacentral:rRNA from 1 species